AAAAAGGUGAUGCCUGUCACCUUUGCCUACUUAGAGGGUUCUGAUUUAAUUGGUCUGGGUGGAGGUUAGUCAUCAGUAGUUUUAAAAAGCUCCCCAGGUGAUUCUAAAGUGAGCCAAAUUGUGAAGCACGGGCCUGAGAGCAGCUUUGGGCAGCUCUGCUCUCUUAGACCAUUUGGCUGGCAGGGGCUGGGGAGUCAGACACAGACCUGGCUCCUGGCUUCAGAUCCCUGUGACUACCAAAGAUGCUCACAGCAGGGUUAGCUGUGCUUGGAGACAGGGUAGGUGCAGAUACACCAAAAUAGGAGGCUACUCUGUAAUUCAGGUGAGAGAUGAAGAGACAGACUCCACCCCUAGUAGUGGAGAAGAAGUGGAUUUGAGAGAUAUUUAGGAAAUAAAAUCAAUACAUCUUGAUAAUGGAUUGGAUAUGUUGGGUGAAGGAGGAGAUGUAAAAAAAUUUAUUGAUCAAAUAUCGAUUGAAUACAUACUCUGUGACAGCCACAUUAUCUUCUAGAAACUGAGGGAUAUAGAUUGUCACUGUUUCCACUGUAUCAGUGAAUGGCUGGUGAUCCCUGAAAUGGGAGACCUUUGAAAAAUAUGUUUUCAACUGUUCUUUUACUGAUGUAUAUUUAAAUGGUUUUAAGUGUUUGUAUAUAUAGACAGACACACACAUGUUUAGUGCUAUUACACACAAUGAAAUAGUAAGCAAUUUCCUCUAAAUUAGGUAUAAUUGAUAUACAGCAUUAUGUUGACUCCAGGUGUACAACAUAAUGAUUUGAUAUUUGUAUUGUGAAACGGUCACCCCAAUAAGUCUAGUUAAUAUUGGUUACCAGAUAUAGUCACCAGAAUUUUUUUCUUGGGUUGAGAAGUUUUAAAAUUUACUCUCUCAGUAACUUUGAAAAAUAUGCAAUACAGUGUUAUUAA
rnacentral:lncRNA from 1 species